GAACCUGUUUCAAAAGGAUUUAGAUGAAAACUAUCUUACAGGGGCUGUGAUUUCUACCCAGUGCUCUGAAUGUCAAAGUGAAGAAAUUCAAUGAAGCGCGGGUAAACGGCGGGAGUAACUAUGACUCUCUUAAGGUAGCCAAAUGCCUCGUCAUCUAAUUAGUGAUGUGCAUGAAUGGAUGAACAAGAUUC
rfam:Mus musculus chromosome 17, GRC primary reference assembly.